GGAAAGUUAAAUUGAAAGAGUUCGAAACUGACCGAGAACAGCGGUAGCUCCUAGGAGGGUAUCAGCUCCGGCGUACUUGCAAGACUUGCAAUAAACGACGCCUUGAACUUCAACAAGGCUCCUAGGGAAACGAUGGGUGGGUGUGGGUGGGUGAGCAGGAGCAACGUGCGGUGGAGGUGGGUGAGCAGGAGCAACGUGUGGUGGAGGUGGGUGAGCAGGAGCAACGUGUGGUGGAGGUGGGUGGGCAGGAGCAACGUGUGAAGGUGGGUGAGCAGGUGCAUGAGCGGGAGUGUGAGCCGGUGCAUGAGCCGGCGGGUGGGGGUGGUGGUGAUGAUGGUGGUGGCUUGGGGCGUGAGCCGGUGGGGCAGUAGGAGGGUGGCUGUGGUGGUGGUGGUGGUGGUGAUGGUGGGGGCUUGGUGCCGUUGCCGGGGUUACCGAGUGGUAGUGUGAUGGUGGCAUAGCCAUGGAACUCUCAGUGUAAACCUGUUCACCAUACACAGUGAAGCUGCAGCCGGCUAAGACCAAACAAACAUGAACAACAAUCAGUAAAGCUUUACCCAUUUUGUUUUGUUUUUUUUUUUCAGUCUUCUUUUAUCUCUAGUAAAGAAGAUGGCCAGCCAACUAGGGGGAGGGUGAGAGAGUGAGAGAGAUCGAGAGAGGUGGUGAAAACGAUCUCCGAUUGGGGGAAUUUAUAGGGGUUUUAACCCGUGAUUCUCUGCGGUUUUUUGUGAUAAAAUUUUUAUUUUAUAAUAUGGUGGUGGGGCUAUUAUUAUGCAUUAUGCUGUGAGGUGGACACAAACAUAAUGCAAAAGAAGAGAGAUAAUGAGAUAAUGCAAGAUUGAUUCGUUAAUUUGUUUUAGCGUUUGGUUGAGGCCCAAAUAAAAUUUGUUGAAUUUUUUUUUUAAUUUUAAAUCUAAUAUUAAAGUCUAAUGAUAUUCAUAAUACUGAUAUUCAAUGUCAAAUGUGUAGACAACUUCUAACAUCUCAAAUUGACUCCCAUAAUGUGUGUGUAUAUUAUUCAAGGAGACUUAAAAGGUCAUUCCACAUGUGUUGUGUGUAGAAAAAGAGUGACUAAUGAGUAGGGAUGGUAAAUUAAUCCGGACCAGGAUUGGACCCGGAUAAUCCGGUCCGGGUUUAACCCGUACCGGAAGGUAAUACAAUGCGGAUCCGAAAAGGAUAUUUUGAACCCGGAUAUAUUCCGGUCCGGAUCCGGUUUAUCUUAACCCGGAUGUCCGAAACCCGGACCCGAAUAAUUUAAUUAUAAAAGAAAAAAAAAAACCUAAUGCCUUAAGUCUUAACCUACUGCAGCCGCUUCUUUCUUCUCCAAUUUCUCUUUCUUUCUCCUCCAUCUUCUCUUUUCAUUAAAACAAACCCACUGCAGCUGCUUUCUUUCUUCUCCAAUUUCUCUUUCAUUCACUCAAAUGACUUGGAAAAAUCUUUGUAUUGAAAGGAAGACAAAGAGGAAUGCACCCAUUAAGGCUUAUACUCAUUUUUUGUCACUCUUGCUGGUUUUUGACAGCUACUUUCCGCCACUCUUGCUGAUUUUUUGUCACCAGAAAUUGCCGAAUCUCCACAGCAACUUUUUGACGAUGCUCUCCUCGACGCCGACGACAACACCAAUGCCACCAAAAAUCUGAAAACUCAGCAAUCCUCCCUCAACAUUCAUUUAGCUAUGGUUUCAGGAUUUUGGUGAUUUGAGAUUUGGAGAUUUGAGGAAGUAACAUCAAGAGAAAAAAAAAAAUUGUAAUAGAUAUGCGGGUUUAGAACCUGCAAUCCAAAAAUUUGACUUUUUCUGGGUUCAAUCCGAUUCGGACCUACAAUAAAAAUAUCCAGAUUAUAUCCAGAUCCGGUAUAACAAAAUUAUCAUUCGGAUUCAGAAUCGAAAAGACUGGACUCGAACCCGGAUCCAGAUUUUGCCAUCCCUAAUAAUGAGUGGGUUCCAUACGUUAUUUUACUUACUAGGGAAAAAUUAUACCGGUGGAGGAUUUUAAAAGGAUAAUUAGGAAUACAAGGUGAUUAAAUCCCAAGAGAUCGUUGUAAACAAGUGGCUCAGAGAUUCACAUGCAGAGGUGAGACCGUGCGAGUGGGCUCCGGAAUUUUGGCACAUGUAGCGAGGCAAUGUAGAAGUUUCCGAUGUUUCUUUGGUUACUGAACCUCUCGUCUUUAUUUUUUUAAAAUUAAAUUAAAUAGUACGUUGAUUCUUUGGUUUGGGAAAUUAAUGAUAUUUACUAAAACUCUUGGUAAAUGGUAAAUAAGAUGAAUGAUUGGUAUGGGCCCAACCAAAAAGUAAUGGCAAGUGAUAAAAUUUCGAGCUCUUUGUGGAUAAAGAAAGAAUAUUGUACGUUACAAUAAUUUUUGACGUUGAAGUUCCUGUGUUUCACAAGAAAAGUGAAAAUAAAAUAAAGCAACCUUAAUUUCCUCCGUUAUUAAAAAUAUUAUAAUAUUUUAAAAAUAUAUUAAUUAUUUAUUUUAAAUUAAUAAAAUAUAUUUAUUAUCUAUUAAAUUAUUAAUUAACGUUGAAAGAUAAUGACAUUAGAAGGGUAAUUUAAUAUUUUCACACGAUAUAAAAAAUAAUAAAAGAAUUUAAGAAUAUAAAAAUGAUAAUUUAAAAGUACGUAAGUGAUAAUAAGAUAAUUUAAGAGUAUAUAAAUAAUAAUUUUUUUAUUUUAAUUUAAAUUUCAAAAAUAAAAUAUCAAUUCGCUGUAUUAACUUUCAGAUGGUAACUAAUGAUUUAGUUAUUAGUAUAUAUAUUUUGUCAACUUAAAAUGAACGAUUAAUAUUAUUUUUUACAACAAAACAAAUAUAAGGUAUAAAAUGAUAAUUUCCCUAACAUAAAUAAAGAAAUGAAACACUAUUUUCGCUUUUGCCACUUUCGUUUUCGGUUUCGAAUUAUCGUCGGAGUCUAGAAACUAGGUUGUGUAUUUAUUAUAUGUGCUCUGUUUUUAUUUGUUUAUCUUUUCUCUGUUCUGACACCUUAGAAAACUUAAUCAGAAAACGACAUGGCAAGGAGAAAAGAAAAUAUUAUACUAGGGUUAUUGAUAUUAAAUCAGAGCUAGAAUUAGCCUUAGGGUUCCUUCUUUUAAACCCUAAAAAUUGAAAACUCAAGUUUAUUAUUUAUCGUAAUAUAAUUAAAUUCCGACAAAGUUAAAUAAUGGGUUCAUUUGAUGGGUAAGUCGUGUAAAAUUUAUCAAUCGUUUUUCGCGUAAAAUUAAUAGUAGAAAUUUCCAAAUCUAAGCGAAUGUCAAAUUUGGUCCAACGCAUGAAAUAAAUUAAAACUCUGGAGAUGAUAACUUUCUAGAUAAUGUAAUUGAGCUUUUUAUAUAUGGAACUGCAAAUGUAAUUCCUCUGUCCCGCAUUUCGGUCCUUUUAUAGAAGGUUAGAUAUUAUAUUUUGAUGAACUAUUAUUUGAACUAAUUAAAUAAUGAUCGCUCCUUGCACAUAUCCACUGGGAUGCGUUUCAAGAGACAGAAUGAUAUCUGCUGUACCGUACAUCCGCCUUGGCCGUACAGCAGAUUAAUAAAAUAUAUUUAUUAUCUAUUAAAUUAUUAAUUAACGUUGAAAGAUAAUGACAUUAGAAGGGUAAUUUAAUAUUUUCACACGAUAUAAAAAAUAAUAAAAGAAUUUAAGAAUAUAAAAAUGAUAAUUUAAAAGUACGUAAGUGAUAAUAAGAUAAUUUAAGAGUAUAUAAAUAAUAAUUUUUUUAUUUUAAUUUAAAUUUCAAAAAUAAAAUAUCAAUUCGCUGUAUUAACUUUCAGAUGGUAACUAAUGAUUUAGUUAUUAGUAUAUAUAUUUUGUCAACUUAAAAUGAACGAUUAAUAUUAUUUUUUACAACAAAACAAAUAUAAGGUAUAAAAUGAUAAUUUCCCUAACAUAAAUAAAGAAAUGAAACACUAUUUUCGCUUUUGCCACUUUCGUUUUCGGUUUCGAAUUAUCGUCGGAGUCUAGAAACUAGGUUGUGUAUUUAUUAUAUGUGCUCUGUUUUUAUUUGUUUAUCUUUUCUCUGUUCUGACACCUUAGAAAACUUAAUCAGAAAACGACAUGGCAAGGAGAAAAGAAAAUAUUAUACUAGGGUUAUUGAUAUUAAAUCAGAGCUAGAAUUAGCCUUAGGGUUCCUUCUUUUAAACCCUAAAAAUUGAAAACUCAAGUUUAUUAUUUAUCGUAAUAUAAUUAAAUUCCGACAAAGUUAAAUAAUGGGUUCAUUUGAUGGGUAAGUCGUGUAAAAUUUAUCAAUCAUUUUUCGCGUAAAAUUAAUAGUAGAAAUUUCCAAAUCUAAGCGAAUGUCAAAUUUGGUCCAACGCAUGAAAUAAAUUAAAACUCUGGAGAUGAUAACUUUCUAGAUAAUGUAAUUGAUUGUCCAAGUGAUUGAGCUUUUUAUAUAUGGAACUGCAAAUGUAAUUCCUCUGUCCCGCAUUUCGGUCCUUUUAUAGAAGGUUAGAUAUUAUAUUUUGAUGAACUAUUAUUUGAACUAAUUAAAUAAUGAUAUAAUUUUUAUUAUUUUAAUCGAGAUAUAAAUUAAAUAUUCUAAUUAAGCAAAUAUAGUAUUAUUUUUAUGUUUUCAUUGGCUUGAUUCUUGACCAAAUCAUCUUUCAGUACGCAUCCCUCAGUUGAUUACUGACAUGGCAUUAACCCUUCCCUGGUUGAGACGCAAGUAACAGGUACCUACUGGCGAUCGAGGUCGGUUGAAUUAUUUGAUGCAGUACAUCAUAAAAUUUUUUUACUAAAUUUGGUAUAGAUUAUAUCACAUUAACAUAAUUUUUUUAAUAAAAAUUUACUAAUGGUAUAUAAUUAAUAAUUCUUAAUUGACAUUUCUCUCUCCUACUUGUUUGCUUAUCCUUCCACCAUUUUUAUUUUAUUUUUUUCAUUUAUCUCUUACUUUGUGUUUUGUUUCAGCUUCUCAUAAACUCUUUCACUCCCAAUCUAUAAACAAAUAUUUUCAUGCAUUUGUCAUAGAAUUCCAGUUAAAUCAUAUAUUUUUGGUCCAACAGUACUUAUCGGAAAAAAAAUUAUUUCAACAAAAAAUCAUUGAUUUUUAUUUAAGCCCACAUUAAUUGAUCCACAUUUCCACACACAAGUAAAAUUAUACAACCUCGCAUACAAAAUGCAGCUUUUAAAGUUCAGAAGUUUCACUAUGCUCUGAUUUUACAAUCAUAAAGAUUGCAAAUAAUAUUUUUUUUUUAAUCAAAAAGGCAUAAAUGACAAAGCUUUUAUUAUAAUGAUCGGCCGAUGAAUCGCAUGUGCCAGAAGAGCCGAAGACAAACCCAGUAAAGCAGAAAAAACAAAAAAGUAUUAACUCAUAGGACAAGUUUAAUUAAUAAAAAUUAAUUAUAUUGAGUAAGAAAUAAGGAUCACUUAAAUUUUAUUUCUUCUUGUGUUUGGGGUAAAAGGAUUAUAUAUAGCUUUACUGAUGUAAUCAUCAUCAGGUAUGUGUAAUUUAUGAAGCUGCGUCCAUAACCGGAUCCACCAAGAAGUCACAUUUAAAUCGAACAGCUGUUUUUGUAUUCAAUCGAGAGAUUAUACAUUAGGCUUAGGGUUGCAGCACCUCAAUGGCGAGCUGAAAAUAAUAAAUUGUUGUUGACUUAGAAAUAUAAAAUGAAUUAGAAUGAUCGAGAUAAUCGGAUAUAACAGAUCAUAUUAUAAUAAAUACGAUCUGAUCCGAUGUAAUGGAGUUCGAUAAUAUCAAUACCGAUUGUGCGUAUAAGCCAAUAGCAGUUCUUGAUUUCUUGUAUUGUAUGAUUGUGUUGUAUCCAUUCGAUUCAAGCAUAAAAUAUAAAAAAUGAGACGGGUAUGAGUUGAGCAGUGCUGCAAAAGAAAAGAUGAUCGCCCACUCAGCCGCUUGGCAGUUUGCAUGCAGUCCAUGAGCAGCCAUUUUUCAUUCAGCUGCUCACCGUCCUUGGUCCUUAUUCCUAAUAUUUAUUACCCUAUCAACUAACUCUCUUGUAAUUUUUUUUUUUUUUUACAACAUCAAUGAUAUAAGUAACAUGUACUGUUGAAUCUAAUCAGCUGUACAAAUUAUUUCUAUUAAUAAUUUUUUUAAAAUAAUAGAACUAGUUAACAAUCGGUUCAAAAUGUGAUUUGAAAUUUAAAAAAAAAAGUAAAAAGAGAUAUGAUAAAAAUAAUAAUAUCUCGGGUUCUUUUAUUUAAAAUUAAACAAGUAUUACUUAUUUUAUAGCAUUUUGAUGUCGAAACAUAUGAACCGCUUUGAUUAUUUUAAUUGAUUUGAUAGUUAAUCCUUGUGACUUUGAGUCCUAUUAUCAAAUUGGGUUACUUUAAAAAAAAAAUGAAAGAGAAAGUGGUUGUGCAAGGGUUUAUCAAUGAUUAUUUUUUAGGUACUUAAACUUAUAUCUAAGGCUGAACCUUAUCUAAACUACUUGCUUUUGGUCGCCCGAGCACAGCCUGCCAACAAUUAUGGCGGUUGAAUUUGAAUGGAAGACUAGUAUUCUUUCCAAGCAGUGGACCUAAGAAAGGGCGAAGCAAGUGACUUUUACAAUUACUUUGCUUCUUCUGUUCAUUAAAAUACACUUUGCAUUUGACGUGUGGUUAUUUCAAGAUGAUUUGGUACCAAAACUUAUUUUUAAGUUAUGCCAAUUAAAUUCAAAAUAGCAAUAUUUAAUUGUUUUCAUUAUACCCCGGAAAUUCUUCUUUUGUUAAAUUAAAAUUAUGCAUAAUUUGAUUCUAUAAGAAUGUAGCCCGUAUAAUGGUCGACUUUUACCUAUCUAAUUCUUUGAAAUAUUUUAUAUUUGUAUGAAUAAUAUGAUCUUCCAGGGACUUUUAGUCGCUCAUGUGCUUUAUUUUGUUAUCCCUCGUAUAUUCUUUGGUUUCAUGAUUGUUGAUUUCAUGUAGAAGAUUUAUUUAUAUUUGUACAGGAAAGAUAGUUUUACUUUUCAAAUUAUCACAGGAGACUCUCUGCUUGUUAUUGACUUAUUAUUUCAUCAAUUGUGCUAGAUGAAGGAAAUGGAGUUCAAGAAGUUGUUCGAUACACAAAAUAUUGCUGCCUUGCUGCCUUUCGUAUUAAGAGGAAUCCGAUUCAGUGUGUUCUCCUUCCUCACUGCUCGUUGCCAGCUCUUGAAGUGCACCCAACAUUUACCGUACGAAAAGCGGUCUGCUGUACCGUACAUCCGCCUUGGCCGUACAGCAGAAUAAAAAUGAAAAUGAAAAUGGUGUUUUGCAAUUGCUGUAUUUCGAAUUUCAAUAUGUGUCUAGUAUCAUUUUCUGUAUCCUGUAUUUUAAAACUAAAAACUAAAAACAGUAAUAUGCGUUUGGUAGACACAGUUGAAAAUUAGGGGUGGGCAAUAGUCGGUUCGGCCGAGCCGAGCCGAACCGAACCAAAACCAAUCGGUUCUUUAGAAGAUGAACCGAAUAGGGACCGAAUUUAGGAACCGAACCGAACCGAACCGAAAUAUUUCGGUUCGGUUCGGUUCGGUUCCUAAAUUCGGUCCCUAUUCGGUUCAUCUUCUAAAGAACCGAUUGGUUUUGGUUCGGUUCGGCUCGGCUCGGCCGAACCGACUAUUGCCCACCCCUAAUUUUCAACUGUGUCUACCAAACGCAACUACGCACAGGAUCCUUCAACAACGUUCUUCCAAAGAUUGGUGUAGGUAACAAGUUCUGUGCUGCCACCCAACUUCGAAAAACUUCCCACACACACAUUCCCCCACACACACCCACACCCACACCUAGUAGCCCUGCUGUACGGCCAAGGCGGAUGUACGGUACAGCAGAUGACACACACACACACACACACAUAUAUAUAAAUCGGUCUCAAGUUAGUCUUGACUGUAAAAUCCAUUUUGUGGCGAAGUGCAAAGUAUGACAAGAGAUGACAAGGCAAAAGCAGCCAGCCAAUAUAACAAGAUAAUAAAUAAUAGUAUCACCACCAAUCUAGCGAGUUCACUUCGUUUAUCCUUAAUGAAGUCAAGCAUGACAAUGCCAAAAGAUAGUCAAUCAUAAUUAAAAUUCAAAACAAGUGAAAAAAAAUCAUCAUAAAACCUUGAAAAUCAUUGUAGACAAGGUUCCAUUAUCCAUAGCAACAAAAGUCAUGGCAACUAAUUAUAACCACUGAUCUCCAAAGGGCACCAUACACUAUCAUAAUUGAAGUAUUCUGCUGCUUGACUUACAACAUCAAGAACAUCAGGUCAAAAAGGGCCAGAAUCCUUUCAGCUUGUUAGUCUGCUACUGUCAUGAUGCAAACCACUCACUGGCAGGCAUCUGUUUUUAGAAAAAAAAAGACUUCGACCUGUAAUCAUCAAAUCGUAAUUUAGCAAUCAGCAAUUCAAAUCCGCUACAGGGUUGAGCAACCUUUUGCAAAUCAAAAAGUUUGCACUAAUUCACAUAAUACAACUAAUACUAAAAUGAAUCUAAAACUCAGAUCAGGAAGUGGUCAAAGCCAUUAAAGGAAUGGUCAGAGUGUAACAAGCUACCAGGUGUUAACAAUGGAGGGAAGUGGUACAGUGUGCUUGAAUAUGCAAAAACAAUCAGAGUCUACCAACUGCAAUGAACUGGAUGCAGUAGGAAAUGCAUUAGUUGCCACCGUUAAGAAGAUAACCGUUGCCCACAGACAACAACAGUGUUGGAUACAUCCUAAGAAGAAACAGGGUACCUUCACUUUAUCUCUUUUAAGAAGAUUAAACAGUUCAAUAUGGAGGUAUAACAGAAACAGUGGACUACACUGAAGAAGAUAUUCGAUUGAAAAUUAAGGAGUUGAUUAAAUCUUUAAGAUACUGAGACAGCAUAGUUUUUUAUGAAUGGAAACAAAAUAGUAGCCAUGUUGCAAGUUACAAAUUCAGCCUGGAAGCAGAAUUUUUUUUUGCGACAAGGAUGGCAUGAAGAUGACCGGCGUCGCACGAGCUUUCAAUCGGUACCAACCUUGGUCGGAGGAGUGGCCGGAAACGGAGACAAAAUCCGAGUUGGGUUCGUGGGUAUUGUGAUAAAGAGAGGGGUAUUGUGAUGUAUGUGCAAUAUAGAAUAAAAAUGUGUAAAUAGUAAAUAGUUUAAGGUGCUAAGUAAAAUGUUCAUAUGGAUGCAGUAGAAAUUAACUUAAUAUUUAUAAAGUAAAGAUUAAAUAAAAUUGAGUAAAAUGGGUUCUAUAAAAAUUUACAAUUGUGCUGACAAAAAGACAAAAAUAGUGGUACGGUACCACUGUGGUACCGUAGCUUGAUCCUCCUUAAAGUUUGAAUUAAUGAUAGAAUUACACAAAUAUUUUACUUUAGUGGGCUUAUUGAUGACAUGCGUAUCAUUUUUGUCAAUUUAUAGUUGUAAAUUUAUAUUUUUAAAAUGUAUUUUAAUCAUCAUUCCUACUUACCUCACAAAGUUGCUUUGUUUUCCCAAAAAAAGAAAAAGAAAAAAACCGUUUGAAAUAUUUUUUACGUGAUGCAUAAUUAUUGUGAGAAAAUAUAUACGAUGUUUGGGUGUUGUUUUACCAAUUUUCUAUCUAAAUAUGCAUAUGAAUAAACAUGUGAUUGACUUGUAAAAAUAAUGUGGUACUUUAAAUGUACAAAAUCGAUUAUGGAAUGCAAUUUAAUAUGCUCUAUAUUACUUUGAAGUUGGACACCGCGGUUAACUAACUACAAUAUGCACUAAAAAGGUGCUAUUGAAAUGAAUAUGUGAUUUUAAUCAUUUUAAAAUCUGAAAUUUGUGAUCUAAAACAUUUCGGGCAGAUGUUUAAUCGCAGCAGUUAUCUUUCACAAAUUAAAAAUUUUUACAUCAAAUUUUUUAGAGUAAUGAUACAGCCACAAACUCUUGUACAAACUUAUUUUGUACAAACUGACGUGGCAUGAUAAGAUUGGUUGAAUGAAAAUAUAAAUUAAUAAAAACAAAUCAUGUGGGCCAAGUGAUAUUUAAUUCAACCAAUCUUAUCAUGCCACAUCAGUUUGUACAAAAUAAAUUUGUACAAGAGUUUGUGGCUGUAUCAUUACUCAAUUUUUUAUUUUAUUUUAAGUGGUCGUCAAUUUAUCUUCCAUUCCUAGUUUUUUUUUUAAAUACCGAUAAUACACCAGAUUAUUGAAUUACAUUAGAUAUUUACAAUUGUUAUUACAAUAGAUAAUUAUAUUGAUAUUUAUAAUCAGACAUAUAAUUGGAGGUAUUAAAGUACCUUGUCCAGAUAAAUAACCCUCACAAACGAAGAAUAUUUCUACUCCAUUCUUAUUUCAUAAGGAAAAGAACUUACAAAUAAAUCUACACAAUUAUACAUAAUUCUUAAUUCUCAUUACCCUCAUUAUCUGUGAGGGUAAUGAGGGUAAAAGUUCACCGGUCCAGUGCUAUGCUAGUUAAGUGAUUGUGAUCUAACCAUUCGGGAAAUCUCAAUAGACCUUGUAUUUCGGUCGUUUUACAUUUUCCAUGACCAAUGGGCCAGCGCCACAAAAUAAAUUAAGAUUUAAAAUAACUAACAUAAAUGAUUAUUUAAUUUAAUAAUACUAGGGGAAAAAAAAGAGAGUAAACAAAUUCCAAGGACUUGACUUUUCUUUUUGAACAGUAUGCCAGGAAAAAAGUAACAAUUGCUAUGUCUCUCAUGUUUGCCACAAGGCAGACCACUCAAUUAGUUUCAUUACUUCCCUUUUUCUUGGUUUUGAUUAAAUAUAUAUAUAAUUACCAUUUAAUUUUAGAUCCGCCGUAAAAUUUUAUAACAUGGGUACAUUUAUGAUGACAAAAACAUUAAAAAAGAGGAAAAAAAACAUGAUCCAUAGCAUAUGCAUUUAUAAAUAUAAUUCAUAUUCAAACAAUGAGCCUCAUAAUUUAUUUGUUGCUAAUUAAACUAGCGGGAUACUAUAAUUUAUUAAUGCCAACGAAGCGACACAGUACAAAUAGACUUGCACUUGUGAGCUCCGUAGCUGAUGAUUGUCUUGGGUGCUUUGAUCCUGAAGUAGCCGUUCUUGUCCGUUUUGCCAACCACAUUGAGUGGAUACUUGGUGUUGUUGCACUGCAAUUUCAGAGUCGCCCCUGCAAUUGAACCCAUGGACAAUAUUAAAAGAAUAAAAAAAAAUUUAAAUACUAGGGACUUCAAAAAGAGAGCUUGAAAAAGGAAAAAGUAGCUAGCUAUGCUGCCAUAACCAUGCCUCCUACUGAAUGUGACAUAAACCUAGAACAAAGAGAAAGAAAGAGAUCAAGAGCACCUCUCUCUCUCUCCAUUCAAAAUCUGGAAAUGUAUACAUCACGCAUCCAUGAAAACAAAUGCACAUUCGCAUCCAUACGUAUGUUAUGUAUGCAUGAUAUCUAACUAAACAUACAUGUGAAAUUAAUUGAAGUAAUAAUGAUAGAAAAAAAUCAAGUAUGUAAGAGUUUGGAGCAGGGAAAAUUAAGUUGAAAGAUUUCGAAACUGACCUAGAACAGCGGUAGCUCCUAGGAGGGUAUCAGCUCCUGCGUACUUGCAAGACUUGCAAUAAACGACGCCUUGAACUUCAACAAGGCUCCUAGGGAAACGAUGGGUGGGUGUGGGUGGGUGAGCAGGAGCAACGUGUGGUGGAGGUGGGUGAGCAGGAGCAACGUGCGGUGGAGGUGGGUGAGCAGGAGCAACGUGUGAAGGUGGGUGAGCAGGUGCAUGAGCGGGAGUGUGAGCCGGUGCAUGAGCCGGCGGGUGGGGGUGGUGGUGAUGAUGGUGGUGGCUUGGGGCGUGAGCCGGUGGGGCAGUAGGAGGGUGGCUGUGGUGGUGGUG
rnacentral:lncRNA from 1 species